rnacentral:rRNA from 1 species
AUAAGUAAGCGGAGGAUAAGAAACUAAAUAGGAUUCCCUCAGUAAUGGCGAAUGAACAGGGAUCAGCUCAGCAUGGAAAUUGGGGCCCUCGGCCUUGAAUUGUAGUCUCGAGAUGCAUCNCCAAUGGAGGCGCAGAUGUAAGCCUCUUGGAAAAGAGCAUCAACGAGGGUGAGAGUCCCGUUUGUCAUCUGCAGUCCCCCAUGCACGGCGUGCCUUCUAAGAGUCGCGUUCCUCGGAAUUGGAGCGUUAAUUGGGUGGUAAAUUUCAUCUCAAGCUAAAUAUUGGUUCGAGACCGAUAGCAAACAAGUACCAUGAGGGAAAGGUGAAAAGGACUUUGAAAAGAGAGUUAAAAGUGCUUGAAAUUGCUGAAAGGGAAGCGAAUGGAACCAGUGUUGCUUGGCGAGAUUGUCAUACGCAUUCGCGUGUGGUGGUUCUUGCCUUGUGUGUCAACGCCAGUUCGCGAUCGAGGAAAACUCCAUGGACAUGGUAGCCUGGCUCCGGUUGGGUGAAUGUGCUUGGCAGAACUCAUUCGCGUACUGAUUCCUUCGUGUCUGGUUGCAGCGCUGCUUGCUCUUGUGUUGGNGCUUGGGUGNGGGAGCUCGCUCCCUACACCCUGCCCAUCUAAGGUGCACGGCGCUUCCCUGACACAUAGACGAUGACUAAAUGGUUUUAUUCGACCCGUCUUGAAACACGGACCAAGGA